UAUGCAAAUUCCCGUGUGUGUGCGUAGAGGGGAGGGUCUCUUAGAGAGAGGAGCUCUGUUAUUACGUACACUUUACAUACUGCUUUGUAAUUUAAAGUCUUUCUUAUGCUCUCCUUCAUAUGGUCUUUGUGGUCCUGUGAUGCCAAAUGCACAGCUCUUUCUUUGCCAUACAUCACCAGCUUUUGGGUGGAAUAUGUGGACCACUGGGUCCUACAGGCCAUCCGUGGAGUGUCAGGACUGGAAUCCAACUUUGUUGCCUACAGGGGUCCCCUGAGACCUUCUACUCUUCUUCUGGAGGGAGGCACGACAAGAAGCAACCUCGAGCGUCGUUCGGAAGGAAAUCCCAACUCCUGUGCUGAAAGGGACCCUGCAGCUGGGCUCUCACGACACAUGAGACAGCCAAGAGGCACGCUGAGUCACGCGGCCCAAGAGGGGCAGUUAGAGCAGAGGGUAAAAGGCACCGGGUAGAAGGGCAAUGAAAUAAGAAAGGGUGGCGGGAGGGAAGGGAGCCAGCUGGGGUGGAAAGGAGGAAGCCUGUGCACCUGUACACAAACACCACGCACGACCGGCCCCGGGUUCUGCGUUCACACCGGAAUCCUUAACAUUCUGCUUCACCAAAAUAAAAUUACCAUACGGGUGAUGGCA